rnacentral:misc_RNA from 1 species
CACCUUUUUUUUAGUAGUCAUUGAACACAACAGUUCAGAACAAGAUAAAUAAAUUAAACACGUGUCUGAGAAUACUAUCCACAUAUCACUGAAAAUCGCAAACCAAGUGCGCAGCUUUCAUCUGCCACAAGAUGGAUAGAGUUCGUGCAACCUCCACACAGAUCAAAUUGCAAUAAAAAAAAAAAAAAUAGAAUUGGUUGCCUCACUCACUAUGCCUAAUUCAGCUCAGCAGUCCAGUUCAUCUUGUCCUCUAUAAGGCCCAUCUGUAGUCUAGUAAGCACAGUAUACAACUGUUGCGAGACAGCACCAAAGCCACCUUCUCCAUAAGACACCCUUCUACCCUUGUGAGUGAUGCUGCCCACAGGUGACACAACCA